GGAAGGCAAAGCUGAUUUUCAUCCAUUUGAUGCUGCCAUAACAAAAUAUCAUAAACUUGAUGACAGAAACAACAGAAACAUAUUUUCUAAUGAACCUAGAGGCUAGAAGUCUGAAAUCAGGAUGUCAACAUGGUGAGUUUCAGUCAGGUUCAGCCAAGGAGAGGAAGUAAUGGAGACUAGAAGGCAGGGAGAGGCCUGCAUUUCUCCCCACUUCUCUCUGCUUCAGGGAGCAUCUCCAGCAGGGCUCAUCUCCUUCGUGACUUCAGUGCUGCCAGGCCAGGCUCCCUGGGGCCAGCAGGUCAAAGAACAAUCACACCACUAUCGCCUGGAGGUGGAAAUCUCCCUGUUGGAUAGAAUUCCCCUUAUUGCUUUGGACAAGAUCAUUUCAGCAUAGUUAACAAG